AUGACUUUGUGUGCAUGACAAGUAUUGACCCUGGAAGAAUGUUACCUGAAGGUGAUGAUGGAGCCUACAGUGUGAUCACUUCAAUACCUGGUGCCAGCUGUGCUACUGGUCCUCUUGAAGAAAAAAAUAGUGAAAUGACAGGAAGACCACAAUAUGUGCGUCUUCCAC